GACAGAGGGUGCAAACGUUGUUCGGAAUUACUGGGCGUAAAGGGCGCGUAGGCGGCCCGCUAAGUCGAACGUGAAAUCCCCGAGCUCAACUCGGGAACUGCGUCCGAUACUGGCGGGCUUGAAUCCGGGAGAGGGAUGCGGAAUUCCAGGUGUAGCGGUGAAAUGCGUAGAUAUCUGGAGGAACACCCGUGGCGAAGGCGGUUCUCUGGGACGGUACUGACGCUGAGACGCGAAAGCGUGGGGAGCGAACAGG
rnacentral:rRNA from 1 species